rnacentral:rRNA from 1 species
AACGAACGCUGGCGGCAUGCCUAACACAUGCAAGUCGAACGAGACCUUCGGGUCUAGUGGCGCACGGGUGCGUAACGCGUGGGAACCUGCCCUUAGGUUCGGAAUAACUCCCCGAAAGGGGUGCUAAUACCGGAUAAUGUCUUCGGACCAAAGAUUUAUCGCCUUUGGAUGGGCCCGCGUUGGAUUAGCUAGUUGGUAGGGUAAAAGCCUACCAAGGCGACGAUCCAUAGCUGGUCUGAGAGGAUGAUCAGCCACACUGGGACUGAGACACGGCCCAGACUCCUACGGGGGGCAGCAGUGGGGAAUAUUGGACAAUGGGCGCAAGCCUGAUCCAGCAAUGCCGCGUGAGUGAUGAAGGCCUUAGGGUUGUAAAGCUCUUUUACCCGGGAUGAUAAUGACAGUACCGGGAGAAUAAGCUCCGGCUAACUCCGUG